rnacentral:lncRNA from 1 species
GCCAUCAUGGCUUCAUUAUUUCUUCAGCCAGUCCCAAAGGUACACACACAACAACAAGUUCAUCCAAUAGCUAUUCAACAAGCUCCAAGUAGUACUAGUACAAGUCAAGCUAGGAAAAAGUCCGGAAAUGAAGGUUAAGCUCAAAACCAGAAAAACAGUUUUGACGUCAUUUUGCGGUAAUGGUACCAAAGGCGCUACGAUUGUCGGAUGAAGUUGCAAGAUACACCGUUUCGAAGCUAGGAGAUAGGGCUACAACAUUACAGAAGGUCACUCAACCCAGUUUUGAGUGCAAACAGGUCAAAAAUGCAGAAUACCAACCCAGAACCGUAAUUGCAGGUUUACGAAUCACACCAUGUUGUAAUUAGUCCAACUCAGUCUAUACAGGUCCAAAUGCAUUGAUUCCAAAGGCAUGCGGUAGCUAAGACCUCAAGCUACAUUUCAUAAGAAGACACCAACAUCCAAAUCCAAAGAAAUUCCAGUCAAAAUGGCCAAUUACAAGUGCAGUGUUCGCAUUCUGAUCAACCC